UACGGGGGGAGCAAGCGUUGUUCGGAUUUACUGGGCGUAAAGGGCGCGUAGGCGGCCAGCGCAAGUCAGUUGUGAAAUCUCCGGGCUUAACUCGGAACGGUCAGCUGAUACUGCGCGGCUAGAGUGCAGAAGGGGCAACUGGAAUUCUCGGUGUAGCGGUGAAAUGCGUAGAUAUCGAGAGGAACACCUGCGGCGAAGGCGGGUUGCUGGGCUGACACUGACGCUGAUGCGCGAAAGCCAGGGAGCGAACGGG
rnacentral:rRNA from 1 species